UGUUUUUGAUAACUUCAGUGCAAACGUGGUAGUUGAAGGAACCACAGUCAACUUGGGCCUCUGGGAUACAGCUGGACAAGAAGAUUAUAAUAGAUUAAGGCCCUUGAGUUACAGAGGGGCUGAUGUUUUCGUGUUAGCUUUCUCUCUAGUUAGUCGGGCAAGCUAUGAAAAUGUACUUAAAAAGUGGGUUCCUGAGCUUCAGCAUUAUGCUCCAGGAGUCCCAGUGGUACUGGUUGGCACCAAAUUGGAUCUUCGUGAGGAUAAACACUAUUUGGCUGAUCAUCCUGGAUUGGUACCUGUGACCACCGCACAGGGGGAGGAACUCCGCAAACAGAUUGGUGCAGCAUAUUAUAUUGAAUGCAGCUCAAAAACUCAACAGAAUGUGAAAGCUGUUUUUGAUUCGGCGAUCAAGGUAGUUAUUAAACCAGCACAGAAACAAAAAGAGAAGAAGAAAAAGCCAAAUCGAGGAUGCCUAUUAAAUAUCUUUUGUGGGAGGAAGCUAGUGUGUCUCAGAUGAAUGCAGCUUCCUCUGAAUGUCACUCACUCA
rnacentral:misc_RNA from 1 species